rnacentral:rRNA from 1 species
AUUGAACGCUGGCGGCGUGCUUAACACAUGCAAGUCGAUCGGUAACAGGUGUAGCAAUACAUGCUGACGAGAGGCGGACGGGUGAGGAACGCUUGGGAAUCUGCCUAUCAGCGGGGGGCAACCCGGGGAAACCCGGGCUAAUACCGCAUACGCUCUACGGAGGAAAGCCGGGGACCGCAAGGCCUGGCACUGAUAGAUGAGCCCAAGUCGGAUUAGCUAGUUGGCGGGGUAACGGCCCACCAAGGCGACGAUCCGUAGCUGGUCUGAGAGGACGAUCAGCCAAACCGGAACUGAGAAACGGUCCGGAAUCCUACGGGAGGCAGCAGUGGGGAAUAUUGGACAAUGGGCGAAAGCCUGAUCCAGCGACGCCGCGUGGGUGAAGAAGGCCUGCGGGUUGUAAAGCCCUUUCGGUAGGGACGAAAGCUCUCGACCUAACACGUCGGGAGGUUGACUUAACCUACAAAAGAAGCACCGGCUAACUCUGUGCCAGCAGCCGCGGUAAUAC